rnacentral:rRNA from 1 species
UACGAAGGGGGGCUAGCGUUGCUCGGAAUCACUGGGCGUAAAGCGCACGUAGGCGGCUUUCUAAGUCAGGGGUGAAAUCCCGGAGCUUAACUCCGGAACUGCCUUUGAUACUGGAAGGCUCGAGUUCGGGAGAGGUGAGUGGAACUGCGAGUGUAGAGGUGAAAUUCGUAGAUAUUCGCAAGAACACCAGUGGCGAAGGCGGCUCACUGGCCCGAUACUGACGCUGAGGUGCGAAAGCGUGGGGAGCAAACAGG